rnacentral:rRNA from 1 species
GAUGAACGCUGGCGGCGUGCCUAAUACAUGCAAGUCGAGCGAACAGACGAGGAGCUUGCUCCUCUGACGUUAGCGGCGGACGGGUGAGUAACACGUGGAUAACCUACCUAUAAGACUGGGAUAACUUCGGGAAACCGGAGCUAAUACCGGAUAAUAUAUUGAACCGCAUGGUUCAAUAGUGAAAGACGGUUUUGCUGUCACUUAUAGAUGGAUCCGCGCCGCAUUAGCUAGUUGGUAAGGUAACGGCUUACCAAGGCAACGAUGCGUAGCCGACCUGAGAGGGUGAUCGCCCACACUGGAACUGAGACACGGUCCAGACUCCUACGGGAGGCAGCAGUAGGGAAUCUUCCGCAAUGGGCGAAAGCCUGACGGAGCAACGCCGCGUGAGUGAUGAAGAUCUUCGGAUCGUAAAACUCUGUUAUUAGGGAAGAACAAAUGUGUAAGUAACUAUGCACGUCUUGACGGUACCUAAUCAGAAAGCCACGGCUAACUACGUG